rnacentral:lncRNA from 1 species
UUUAUUUUUAUUUUUAUUUUUUUAGCGAAAUUUGCGUGGUCCUUGUUAGAUUUUCUUCCUUUUAUGAUUGAAUAUUUUAGUCGACAAAAAUACCUUAGGGGGGGAAUAAGAUGGAAUAACUGCGAUGAAAAUAUGGGCAAGUGAAAUUUGAUUGAAUUUGGUACAUGAAAAUAAAAAAAGACGGAAUAAUAAGAUGGAAAUGUGUGUGUGUGUAAACAAAAGGCGUACCCACGAUAGUAACUAAAAGAGUCACACGUAAACAAUGGCAACAAUCCAAAUUCGAAAGUUAACAAAUUGCAUGAAGGAGUUAUGUUAUGGUAAAUUUUAAUUUUCAUCUACUACAUACAUGCAUGCAAUUCGCGCCUUCCAUUUUCCCCAAUAGCUCAAGCUUAAAAGCAAC